AGAUUGAACGCUGGCGGCAUGCCUUACACAUGCAAGUCGAACGGCAGCACGGGGGCAACCCUGGUGGCGAGUGGCGAACGGGUGAGUAAUACAUCGGAACGUGUCCUGUAGUGGGGGAUAGCUCGGCGAAAGCCGGAUUAAUACCGCAUACGCUCUACGGAGGAAAGCGGGGGAUCUUCGGACCUCGCGCUAAAGGGGCGGCCGAUGGCAGAUUAGCUAGUUGGUGGGGUAAAGGCCUACCAAGGCGACGAUCUGUAGCUGGUCUGAGAGGACGACCAGCCACACUGGGACUGAGACACGGCCCAGACUCCUACGGGAGGCAGCAGUGGGGAAUUUUGGACAAUGGGGGCAACCCUGAUCCAGCAAUGCCGCGUGUGUGAAGAAGGCCUUCGGGUUGUAAGCACUUUGUCAGGGAAGAAAGGAUUCUACUAAUACUGGAGUCUGAUGACGGUACCUGAAGAAUAAGCACCGGCUAACUACGUGCCAGCAGCCGCGGUAAUCUA
rnacentral:rRNA from 1 species